AAAAGUUACCACAGGGAUAACUGGCUUGUGGCGACCAAGCGUUCAUGGUGACGUUGCUUUUUGAUCCUUCGAUGUCGGCUCUUCCUAUCAUUGUGAAGCAGAAUUCACCAAGCGUUGGAUUGUUCACCUACUAAUAAGGAACAUGAGCUGGGUUUAGACCGUCGUGAGACAGGGAAGGGAAAAUGCCUGGGCAGAUCCACCUCAGUGCUGUGGCUGUCUUGGCACGGCCCCCAGGCAGCUUUCCCUCCUGGAGGCAGUCAUGGCCAUGGGAGGUAGUGAGACAUGAGGCGAGGAGAGCACCAGCUGUGACACCACGAUCUGAGGUUUCAUCCAUCGCUGUCUGCCGGUGUGAAUCAAGACUUCUCAUCCCUCCUCCAGAGGAGAGCAGCUACCCAUGAAGCAGCUUCCCCACGUGAAGUUACAGGAGCAAAGGAAGAUCCAACAUGAAUUCCCCAGCCAGGAUUUCACUUGGGUUGUUGGCAUCAGUAUUUGUACAAACCACCAUGCAUCCUCCCUGGAAACAGAGAACAAAUCCCUCCAGAGCUGUCAGAGCAGCUUGGUGGCUGCAUGCACCAUGGAUGGCACCAAGCAUGGAAGAACCCUCCCUCUUCUCGGUCAACCCUUCUUCUGGGUGCUUUAAUUCUGUGCAAGGACCCCUUUUCUCCACUGAAAUGCCUCUAUGUUGCCACCAG
ensembl:lncRNA